GAUGAACGCUGGCGGCGUGCUUAAUACAUGCAAGUCGAACGAAGCACUUCUCCCGUUGAUUGAAUUAGCUUGCUAAUGAUUGAAACAAUUGAAGUGACUGAGUGGCGGACGGGUGAGUAACGCGUGGGUAACCUGCCUUGUACAGGGGGAUAACAGUUGGAAACGACUGCUAAUACCGCAUAAGCGCACAGUACCGCAUGGUACGGUGUGAAAAACUCCGGUGGUACAAGAUGGGCCCGCGUCUGAUUGGCUAGUUGGUGAGGUAACGGCCCACCAAGGCAACGAUCAGUAGCCGACUUGAGAGAGUGAUCGGCCACAUUGGGACUGAGACACGGCCCAAACUCCUACGGGAGGCAGCAGUAGGGAAUAUUGCACAAUGGGGGAAACCCUGAUGCAGCGACGCCGCGUGAAGGAUGAAGUAUUUCGGUAUGUAAACUUCUAUCAGCAAGGAAGAAAAUGACGGUACU
rnacentral:rRNA from 1 species